UAAGGGGUGGCAGAGCGGAAAUGCGCUGGACUCGAGAUCCAGUGGCUCAUGCGAGCCUCAAGGGUUCAAAUCCCUUCCCCGGCGCCA
rnacentral:tRNA from 1 species